AUAGUGUUGCAGGUUUGGGACGAUUCCCAGUGGCUCUGAAACUUUUGCAUGUGUAAGGGCACUUUCAUGGAACUUUGUGACUUGCUUUCUUCUGCCCUGAAGCGCAAGAAUACCAAGAUGAGAACAGCCCUUACAGUUGAGAACCGAGUGGCAAUAGCCCUGUGGAACCUUGCAAUGUCAGACAGCUACUGGUCAGUCGGUAAUCAAUUUGGAGUGGGCAAAUCUACUGUGGGAGUUGCUGUGAUGCAAGUACCCAAUGCAAUCAUUGAGCUGCUGCUAUCAAAGGUAGUGACUCAGGGAAAUGUGAAGGUCAUCGUAGAUGGCUUUGCUGCAAUGAGAUUCCCUAACUGUGGUGAGGCUAUAGAAGGAAUGCAUGUUCCUAUCCUGGGACCAGACCAACAGGGCAACUGAUAUAUAAACUGCAAGGGGCACUUGUCAAUGGUGCUGCAAGCGCUGGUGGAUCACAAGGGACGUUUCACCAACAUCAACAUGGGAUGGCCGGGAAAGGUUCAUGACGCUCGUGUCUUCAGGAACUCUGGUCUGUUCGAGCAGCUGCA